UAAUUAUGGUAUGCACGUUUGGGGCCUUUUCUCUCACCCCUCCCAAGGAAAAGGAUACUUUCCCAUCAUAUUCUUUCCCCCUCCUCUCUCCAGGGAGGGUCUUGCCGUCCCAGACUGUAUUUGGGGCUUUUGUGCUGCAAAAUCAGGAGAAAGCGGGGAGAGACAAGGAGAAGGAGAAAGAAGAGGAGGAGGAGGAGAAGAAGAAGAAGGGGUAGUGCUUUGGAGCUGGAAGAGAAAUCUGGGAGGCAGAGUUGGUGUAGAGAACCUGAUUUCAGUCCUAAGUUUCCAGAAUUCUGGAGCCCAAGUCCUGUUGUCCUUACAGGGAAGCUGAGCCUCUCCUGCCCGCCACAAGGAGCAGAGGCCCCUGCCGAUGGAGUCAGCACACCCGCCUCUGAGCCCAGCCAGGUGACGCCCACCCCCUGCCCUAUCUUCCCUUUCUCCUGCCCCUGCUUGGUUCCUUAUCUUCUUCCUCCAGCUCCUAGAACAGCCAAAGCCCUUAACAAA